rnacentral:rRNA from 1 species
CCUACGGGAGGCAGCAGUGGGGAAUAUUGGACAAUGGGGGGAACCCUGAUCCAGCCAUGCCGCGUGUGUGAAGAAGGCCCUCGGGUUGUAAAGCACUUUCAGUGAGGAAGAACGCCUGGUGGUUAAUACCCAUCAGGAAAGACAUCACUCACAGAAGAAGCACCGGCUAACUCCGUGCCAGCAGCCGCGGUAAUACGGAGGGUGCGAGCGUUAAUCGGAAUUACUGGGCGUAAAGCGCGCGUAGGUGGCUUGAUAAGCCGGUUGUGAAAGCCCCGGGCUCAACCUGGGAACGGCAUCCGGAACUGUGAAGCUAGAGUGCAGGAGAGGAAGGUAGAAUUCCCGGUGUAGAGGUGAAAUGCGUAGAGAUCGGGAGGAACACCAGUGGCGAAGGCGGCCUUCUGGACUGACACUGACGCUGAGGUGCGAAAGCGUGGGUAGCAAACAGGAUUAGAUACCCUGGUAGUC